rnacentral:lncRNA from 10 species
CUGUCUCAAAGAAUCAAAGGCUGAAAAAUAAGUAUAUUUCAACAAAUCCACUUGCUCACAUGUUUCCAGUAUGUUCUUGAAUGGGUUCUUCAAAACCAAACAAAAAAGCACCUAAUUGUGUCACUCAAGCUAAAGAGCACAGACAUAGUGUCACUGAUCAAAGCCCUGUUUGUAUGUAAUUGCCUCUCAAAAAUGCAUUUCGAAUCACUGUCACCUUCUAUUGUACCUACGCAAACACAAGUGUUCUGUGAGUUGAAAGCAAACAAAGGCCACACUUGCAGACCUGAACAAUUCCUCCGCAGGAGGCAAGCAUCCUGGGAUCUUGGUCUCUGAAGGCUGCAGCUCAGUAGAUUGUCAAAAGGCACUUUUCUCCCAACAUCAAUAUCCCUCCAAUCAAGAAACCCAGUAAAAAGUGAAGGACGCAAUUUAGGCUCACGUCACGCUCCAAAACCACAUGCAGACGGCAACGGGAACCCCACAGCUGUGAACCUGCUGAUGAAAGCCAGUUGCACUGGCUGUUGGGAUUCUUGUGCCAAAUGCACAUUUGGGAACUAACGUGGGAAGAGUGUGCAGAACAGCUAAGAUUCAGCGCUGGAUUAGCACUUACAAGUGGGGGUCCUGGGAGCUGUUACAGCCCAAGACCACCUUCCUGACUUGUCCUGCCUCAGCUGGAGGCCAACAGAACACCUCAGUAGGAGAGCAGGAUGAUGUGGGUCCAAGAUUCGGCAAUACUGUGAACACACAGAAGUGUUUUUAGGGAAGUAGGUAAAGAAAGAAGAGAGAUUCGUUUGUCUGAAGGAAUGAUGGCGUCCUUCCAUUGUGAACAGUUGUUGCUGGCUGUGAAUUGGUACUAUUGACAGUCAGGCUGAGAAAAUACAACAUCCUUCUUGCAUUUAAAUUUUGGGUCCUGAGAUCAGACGCAAAAACUGUUUGGGGAACCAUGACUGAUCCUUGCCAAAAUCUUUAUUCGUUCAUGGUGAGAUGAGAAAAAUAAUGACAAUGUAGAGAGUUUUCUAUAAAGCUAAAUAUAGUCAUAAGCAUUGUCUUAUUUUUCCAAAUUUAACUUUCUUCCCUCUUUUUUCAUGUGAAAUGUUAAAUGUCUUAUGAAAUUCUAAUGAUAUAUAUGAGGUAAUAGUCGUAUCUUCUUGGUUUAGUUUAUAAUGUCCUUGUUGGCAAAAUACAGGUUUGGCAACCCUGUCAGACCUCACUGUUGUUGGAGGAUUAUACUACUCUGGGGAAAUUGAAAAGUCCAGAGCCCAUUCUCCUAGAGGGGCAGUAAAACAGCUGCUCCAGAGGGCAGUCUACUCUCUUUCAUCAGCAGAAAUUAUUGCAGCAUCCAAACAAAACCCAACAGCCUGGAGGGCAGCUCUGAUAAGCUCUUGCUUUGCUGUGUGGGUGAGCCUGUACCCUGGGGCUCCUGCUCUACCUCCUGCCUUGGAGACAACUCAUAAACCAGAAGAACUCAAAGGGCUUCUUGAAACAUGCCGCAGGGUAUACAACAAGCUUUGCCAUCAGAGUAGGGAACCAGUGUCCCUCAUUAGAAUUAAAACCUAAAAGUUUAACCUCUUUAUCCUUCCUUGAAUGUAAGUUAUUCCAAGAUACAUUUCCAAGAACAGAACAUGGGAGAAACACUCUGCUUAUUACUCAUCGAAGCAGGGAAUUAUGAGUGAUUCACGACGCAUGUUAUCUCAGAAAAUUAUUUCCUAGAGACUCCCUCUCUCUGGGAAAGGGUUAUUUUUUAACCCUCCUGACCCACGGCAACUUCUUUCUCCAAUGGGAAUCAUUCAUUGUAGAGAAACUUACAGAGAGACCACAUGAUAUGAGAAUUGACAGAUUGAGCAGACCAAGAUUCUAGCUCUAACCACAAAGUCUUUGAUCUUAGACUUUUUGGAGUUUUUUAUUUUGGCUAUGCCUGAUGAUCUCUAAUGUCUCUUCCAGCUCUAAACAUUGGAUCUAGGAUGGAUUGAAGGUUAAUGUUAAAUUAACCUUCAAUGUUAAAUUGACCUCAAUGGUUAAAUUAAUGAAUUAUCAAUUCAUUAAUUUAUUUAAUAAAUGGUGAGAACGUAUAGUGUCAUGCUUAUUGAAUGGAAUUUGGACCCAGUCAACUGGGCUUGAAUUCUGGCUCCAUUAAGGGAGGAGACCACCCCACAUAUUGUCUUAUGCCCAAUUUCUGCCUCCAAAGAAAGAAGAAGUAAAAACUAAAAGGCAGAAAUGAAAUCCACAGGCAGACAGCCUGGCGCCGCGUCCUGGGCCUGGUAGUUAAAAAUCGACCCCUGACCUAACCGGUUAUGGUAUCUAUAGAUUCCAGACAUUGUAUGGAAAAGCAUUGUGAAAAUCCCUGUCUUGUUCUGUUCCUUUCUGAUUACUGGUGCAUGCAGCCCCUACUCAUGUACCCCCUGCUUGCUCAAUCGAUCACGACCCUCUCACACGGACCCCCUUAGAGUUGUGAGCCCUUAAAAGGGACAGGAAUUGCUCACUUGGGGAGCUCGGUUGUUGGAGACAUGAGUCUUGCCGAAGCUCCCGGCCGAAUAAAGCCC